GCCUGAUGAGCCGUGUGCUGGUGAAGAUUCACCCUCAUACUCACAGACAGUCUGGAACCCUAGAUUUGGGACCUGUAUUUGCACUUGCGAUGUGAAAAGAAUUGUAGUUUUAGUGGACGAAUCCGGUUGUUUUCUAGCUCUUGAUUCGCUGUGUCACAGGACAUCAGAACGACACAUGUUCAGAGAAUUUCGACAGAAGGGUGUUUCUAGGUUAUUGCUUUGAAGAAAUGAAGCUGUUACUUGAUCUGUCCUGUGUUUGACAAGUCAUGUGUUUGACAUGUUCUAUGAUAAAUGAUGUGGUGAUAUCAUCAGAUUCCGUCAUUAACGGCGUUAAGCUUAUGCAAGUAUGGGUUCGCAAUGUUAAGCAUCGAAAUCUGAGGAACGGCCUGAAGAAGAGGUGUCUGGAGGUGCAAACCCCAGCCAGCCAUUUGAGGGAUCAGCAAAGAGGAAAUAAUUGUAAGAAGAUAGAAAAAGACAUUCACGUUCAGUCGCUAGGGAAGGGUAUGGACAUGAAAUCCUCAUCUGAAUGUUUGAAAUGCAGUGGGUUCAGCUGAAUCGAGAAACACUGCACCGAUAUACGCUGUGCCGAAGGUGAUAGGAUUCUCAGUUUACUAUAAUACUUUUGUCAGGAAUAGUGACAAAUCGUUGAUGCAGCGGAGGAGCGAUAGAGAAAGUAUACUCAGGCCUUGGUGUUUCAGCCCCGAAAAGUAGAUAAUGCUGAAGGUUUAGCAAGAGGACUACUAUCCUUGAGGCACUGAACAAGAAGGACUUCACGUAAUCUCUGAGUUAAAUCUCGAUGUGGAAUUUUAAGUAAGCUCACCAUGUCUUGGUCCUGAGGGACACGGAUGUAGCAGAAUCAAAAUAGCGAUUCAAUAUCUUUAGGCUAACUCCUGGUCAGGUUACUGUGAAUUCCAAGUCGAAAUUUGACUAAGAUUUUACAUUAAGUCUUUAUCGCUCGCCGUCAGCACCUCAAGGAUGUUUCCAGCGAUGUACUGGUGAUCGGAUCUAUUCUGAAGUUAUCGUGUUCGAAGACGAACGUCCUGGAGCGGAGGAUUCUUACUCAAAAAAUUUGUGGCUGCACUCUAGAAUCGAUCAAGCUCAGAUUCAAUUUUAAUGUUCGAAAAUGUUCAAUUUUAAUGUUCGAAUGCUUGUGUGGGAAAGUCACAGCAUAAGUUGCUCUUUGACACACGAUUUUGCAAAAGAGGAGCAGCAAGAGCGCAACUUCGACAUAAAAGAGAAGUAACUUCAGCUGAAUGAAGAAAAAUCAAAUUACAAAUGUCAGCGGAUGAGGAGGUCCAGCACGCGAAAACAGCACCAAAUUGAUACUUUGAAGGUAUAUGACUGGGUGUUGCAACUCGGUAUCUCUAGUACCGAAUUGAACCUCAUUAGGAUUUUAAGAAUGAAGAUUCUUCAAAUAGUGGAGAAAGAAAAGAUAAAGCUAAUGUAUGAUAUUGGACUCUAAUGCUCCAAAGACACUUGAUGCACUUCUGUGAUGAUGUUCACGUUUGAGGGUGUCUGUCCGAUGUCCUUCAGCACGAAUUCGAGCCAGAAAAUGACUAGCAAGCAGUGAUUCGAUUUCAUGUAUGAUCACAGAGAGUACGAGUGUCACAUACGAGAUGUGAGUUUGUCCUCUUGUUCACACGCGGAGACGAACCAUACUGUUUAUCUAUUCCAGCUGCAUAUUAUUUAACGCUGAGCUAUAUUAAGUGAGAAAAAGAACUUCGAUAUGCAGUCCUCAAUGUUGAUAAUCUCAACACUUUGUGAAACAACUUCUGAGAGGAAUUUUGAAGUAAUGCUCAAGUUGGAGGUGGCCGCUGACACGGCUGUUGGACUAUUUUCAAAGAAUGUUUUCAUUUUGAGUUGUAAUGGCCAUCCACCACACAAGCUUCCCCACACAAGCAUCCACAUGCGUUUUUGUGAUAUGAAUUUUAAUUGUUAACGUCUAGUCUUCUGAGUAUUGUACAUCAAUACUUUAUUGUAUUAGAAGUAUAGUUCAAAGCCUUGAGGUUGGAUUUUUA